CUCUCUGCCUUGCACCCUUUGUCUCUGUGCAUUGCCACCUGCCUCCCACAGCCCCCACAGCAUUCGUCCCUGCAGCCUGUGGUCUACCAGGGGCAUGCUCCAUAAUCGACGAGUGUCCCCCACCAGGUGGGGCAGUGCUGCUCUGAGCUCACGCCAAGGGCCUGUAGAUGUUUGAUUCCUUUUACAAGGUGCCCAAGUGACUUUCUGGUGUCUGAGGAGAACACUGGAGUAAAUGCUUUUCCCAUUUCCCACCACAGUAGACUCUGAAAUCCCAGUAGAAGCAACUUAUUUCUGUUACUCGGCCGUUGCUGCCGAGCGGAAGGGAGUUUGCUUUCCGUGUGUUUGUUAGGCUCUUGCAAUUGCUUGCUCCCUGUAGAGAGAAGUAUAAAACUCCUUCCAGGUGACAUUUGCAGAAAAAAAUCAAUUGUUUAUCAACAUCCCGGCAAUCAAUAAAUGCAGUGAUAGGUGCAACUGUCUCUGUUGGAGCUCGGCCUUGAUUGCUAAGUAGCCAGCUUUGCUAAAGCCACUUGUGGCUGGAGCAUGGCCAUUUCUGUGGGACCAAAGGAUGGAUCUCGGAGCAGAGAUCCUGGGAGGAGCAGAGACCUGAGGGGUGCCUUGUGCUGCCCAAGACCGUCCCUUCCACGAGGCGGUGGUGCUUAUUGCUUUGGGCUCAUUCCCUUUGGCCUGCUGGUCUCUGCUGUCUGGCAGACCUCGGGAGAUGCUUGUGUACAUGUGGACAGAUAGCCAGCGUGUCUGGUCUCUGGGAAUUUCCACACCAAGCUGCAGAAGAGAACCACAGGACAGAGACAAACCCCAGUUGCUCAGUCCCAGAGGAAUUCACAAUCCAUUCCUGAAGUCUAAAGUGAAGCUGUGCCCACUCGUCCAUCUUCACUUGAAGUCCCCAGGGUCUCCUUGCUGCAUCCGAAGUGCCCCCAUGCCUGUAUUGUUUUUCCCUCCCUGAUUUCCUCAGCAGCCUUGGCUUAGCACUGGAGCAGAUGGGACGGACGAGGACCUGAUACAAGGCUUGGGUUCCUGCUGGUGGGGCAGAUGAUGGUGCUCGCUUUCAGUGUCCUGUGCCAGCAUCUCCAGGCAUCCUUCCUUCAGUGCUGCUGGUGCCCAGCGGGUGCUGGCUGUGCCCAGAGCUGCUCGCUCUGCUCGGGACACCAGCAGGCAUUCACACUGGCUUGCAGCUGACUUGGUAUCUCACCAAACAAGGGAAUUCAGGUGGCCCUAUCUGCACAGGGUUCCUGCGCCUGAGCUUUCCCUUCUAACCAACUCUGAGGUCUUCCAGUGACAGCCGACGUGGCCAAGAUACCCUCUUACAAAAGAUACAGCACAGGAGUAGGGCUGCAAGAGUUAACACUGGCAGCUCGCAGACACGCUGGAGAGUUACAUCAUGUUGCUGUGGAAACUAACUUUCUGAAACCACAGUGAUGUAUGGUAAAGCUUUGGGUCAGCGGGUAAUAAAUUCUGUUUAAAAAGUGAUUUUUUCCCCAUCUGCUGAUGUAAACAUCAUUAAGAGAAAUGACGGCUGAGAGAUGGAUUUCUUUUUAUAUCAAUUUUCAGACAAAGAAAAUAAUUUUUUUUUUAUAAUAAAAAAAGUUGCUGGAAAUCAGAGUGUGCUAUAAAUAAUAAAAUAAAGAAAAAGCACCGGUGAUGGAACAGAAAUUUUCCCUGGUGAUUGGUUUACAGCUUUCUGUGAUUUAAUGGUAACUUGCAGUUGCCUGUGGGAAGAAGCUGCAGCAAAGCCCUGGAUGUGCUCCGUGAGCCGGCAGCCCGGCUGGCCUUAGAGGAGGCUUUUCCACUGCUGUCAGCCCAGGGACGCCGAGAGCUGCCCUUGCUGAGGAUGUAGCCUGAGUGACUCUCCUCAGCCUCCUGUUUUCUCUGUUUGGUGCUGGUUGGCCUGGUCUGAUGCUGGCUUUGCAAACUGCGGCCUAAAUUCCAAGCUUUGAGGACUUCAGAACAUCGCUCCAAUUAAUUCCUCUGUGCCGUGCGUUUUCUUGCUCUGCCCAUUGCCACUGAAGGGAGGGUCUGGAGCAAGGGAGCAAAGCUCACUCCGUUUACACAAAGCAGUGUGACAGUCCCAGCUAACUGCAAGUGUGCCUCUGGGAAUGCAGACAAAGGUGUCACCGUGAUUAAUGGGGCUUUCUUCCCCUGGCUCAGUGUGAACCCAUCUCAGUAACGGAUGGAAGGAAUUCAGGGGAAGGAGGUGAAAGAUAACACAGCUUUGACGCGGCAGAGAUGAGAAAUUUUGCACUUUGUCAUCGACUAAUGGGAACAAUAGCAGGAAUGAAAGCUGACUGGCUGCUUUUGAAAAGCAGAGGAGAGAAACAACCGACGUGUGAGAUGACAAGAAACAUCUUCCCCUGAAGGCCAAUACGUGUGUCAUUUGAGCUCGAUGUUCUGGUCAUCUCAGUUAUUUAGGUGGCCUCCGUCACAAAGAGCUGGAGCAUCGCUGGGGAGCUGCCUGGGUGCUGCGUGGGGACAAAGAUGCUCAGCUGGGAAAACCCUUUUCUUAAGCACGUGCCUGAAUUCUCUGUGGCUCGGACACGUGCAGCAGCACAGAGACCAGGUCCAGCCUGGCGUGUGGAUAUUUGAAAGGCCAUUUGUAGUCAGCCCAUGUAUCUGCCAACACAGCCUGCCUACUGUAACCAGCUCGCUCGUGUCAUCAUUUACUGCUCCUCCAAUAUUUGUGUCAACUGUGAUCUUUGCUGGCAGCAAGCUCAUGUUUUGCCUUCCAGAUCGUGGAGAAAAAUCUCCCAACAGCCCUGGGCUGAGAACAAAGCUUUGUCUGAACCUCACCGUGCUCGCCUGAGCUCCUGAGGCACCGGUGACCUCCCCCACUUCGGACGAGUCAGGAUUUCUAGUCGAGAUCCCCAGUUCUUCUGCCUCCAUUUUGCCUGCCCAGCAGAACGAUAGGACAUGCACUGGGGAAGUUGUUUUAGCCGUGGUCUUAGCUUGACAGCAGUGACAAGAGGGCAAAUGAUCUUUCUGUCAGCAUAGUGAAAGCCAUUGCAUGCUAUUGAUUUUUUUUAAUCACAAUACCCCAUUCAGAGCAGUGCAAAAUGCUGCUUUAAAUAUUAAUGCUUUUCCCACUGCUUUCUCCCUUUGCCCCCCCAUGUCCUCCCAUUCCAGCACGGGUCCCAGGCAGUGGGGCAGCUGAGGGAUGCCCACCGAAUGAAGGAGGGCUGUACGUAAAGCACUCGGCAGUGCCCCUUUAACGUAGGAGCAACUUGACUUUUAUUGCCAGUGCUGAGAGCAUCUACAAACAUAGAUUUAGCAUCAGCCCCCAGGCUUAAGAUACAGCUGUUAUAUUUUUUCUUUCUUCCUUUAAUUUUUUUUCUCUCUCCUUUGUACUAAUGUAAUGCUUAUUUAGGAACUGCAGCCAUCUGUGUCUGCUAUGGAUGGCACUGUUAAAUUUGCUAUUGCUUUCUUUCCCCUGGUUUGAUGAGACUCCCAGUGCACAGAAAAUUUCCCAGGACAGCAGAGACUUUCUUUGAUUGCUUUUUUUGAUUCCCUCCAAAAGAGAAUGUUCACAGUGCUCUUUUUGUCCCAGAAAAAGGUCAGCAGCCAGAGAGCUGAGGAUCCUGCCUUAUGUCGGGUUAAUGAGGUGAAUUUAUGAAGGGCUGGCCAGACAAGAAUGUUGUUGAAAGUAGAGGUGGUGGUUUUAUCUGCAAAUAAAAAGGGAGGGAAGGAGGAAGGGCUGGGACCAGAGACCUUCCCGUUCCUCCGAGCAGCUUGUGGCUGACGGUGAGACAGCUCACGUGGGAAUUGGGACAGUUGCUGUACUCCAGGGAAUUUUCAGUGUUUUUCAAGUGGAAUAAUUCUGACUCGACAGAUGGACAGGGACCUAUCCCAAGUUAACAAUCUGGCGAUCAGCGCACGCAGCGGGAGGCUCAGGCACAGCUCCGUUCCAGCCAGGCAGAGCAAUGAUGGGUGUGUGGUUUCGCCAUCAGGCACUUGGCUAUUUUUGUCAGGCGAGGCAGAAGUUGAUUUCUUCCUGUUUUGUCGCUGAGUUGCUUGCAAAUGGCUCGUGUUCACCCUUGUGAGGGAAGGUAAAUCUUAAAAAUAUCUAUGAAGAGAAGAAAAAAUAUCUUCCUCUUUUGGGCAAAGCCCUUGUAGAGUGAGUUGUUCCAGAGAAAGCCACCACUCCUACAAGUUAUUUACAUUUUAAACCCCUUCUCUUUGUUUUCAUUUAGUGUUUUCUCUAUCAUCUGCUCCUUUCAAUUCUUCCCCAUGAAACCAUAGCUUCUUUUUGCACCCCAGGCCCUCUGCCUUGCUAAUAGCCCUCUUUGCAGAAAGGUUAACAGCAAGUUUCUCUGAAAAUACCAUCUGAUGGGGACCAGGCAUCCGGUGGUGGAGGCGCUGCUUUAUGGUUUGUAGGAGCUGAGGAGUUGUCACUUUUCUGACCACAAAUCCUUUGGCUGCAUCUGUUUGGGCACCCAGGGCCGUUCCCCGUCGCCUGCCCCUACUCCUCUUCCAAAGCAGUUUUUAAAUUGCCUUGCCAUCUCCCAGGAAGGGACAAGGAGUCAUUUGAAAUGGUCAUAAAUGGCCCAGGGUUCAAAACCACAGUAAAGACUGUUGUAGUAAUGUGAUGGUGUAGGUGGUUAAGUUCCAAAUUUCAGGAAUAUUGGUUUGGUUUUCUAGGGUGCCUGAAGUCACAGGCUCACUGGAAGCUGUCAGCUGUCCCUGGACUUUUAUUGAUGCCCCUCCAUCCUUCAGAUCCAGGUAGUCAAGAGCACACGGUCACCUCCUUAUGCUGCUGCCAUGCAUCGCAGAACUGUUCUCCAGGAUUUGCUGCUAGGAUCCCAUGGAGCCUGUGGCACAUUAGCUCCUGAGCUGGCAAUUUGGACUCGUACCUGCAGUGCUGAAGGUGCAUACACACACCACUAACACGUAAGAGCUUUGCAAUAUGGUUUUGCAGCUGUCAGCAUGAUGAAUGGAUGUUAUGUUGUAUUUCCUGCUUUAUCAAAUACUAAUUAUGUAUAUGAUAAUUCUAAGCAUCGUGGUUACUUUUGGCUCAUUUGUUUUUCAGUUUCCAGAGGCAUAAUGGGAUAUUUCGACGCCCCCACUCCCAUUCUUGAAAUUCUGCUUUAAUUGCUUCUCUUCAGCUUUUGCUUAAGGUUUCCAACUCUGAUGGGUCAGUGUAUUGAUCCUGCACUUUGAUAAGGUCAGCGGAGAUCAGCUGUGACAUUUCGAGGAGAUUUGCUCCUCCCCUAAUGGGCUUAGUCAUCAAAGAGUUUUUCAGGGGACAGGGCAGGGGGGACAUGGAAUUUAAACUCUUGCAUAUGUUUAUUUAGGCAGCCUUGUAAGGCUCUGAAUGGUGAUACCAGUUGAGAGCCCAGAGUGUCUGCUGUGCAGGUUGAGAACUCUGCACAGCAGAGUUAUUGAAGCUCUGUGUUUAUGACCCUCAUUAGAGCAGGUGCUGUCUGGGUAACUGGCCAGGUGAGAUGGCAACAAAUGAACCCAAAAGGGUUAAUGAUAGAGCAAAACCAGUGGCCCCACUCCCCACUUCUGCAGAGGCUGGGCUGCACCUCCAGUGUGGUGCCUCCGGCCACAGCUAAUUGUGGAUGAUUCAGAGGAAGGCGACCAGCUGAGGUCUUGGAGAAUGAGAUUUGACUACAGCUAUCGGCUCAGUGAGGAGCUUCAAGGCUUAGCAGCAGAUAACGCAGAAUUUCCUGUUCUUGUCAUGGCUCGAGGAAGGAGGAAGCGAGCAGGGGCACGCACGGGUUCCCGGGCCAGAGGAAUCAUGUAAAUGGGGGUAAAAGAGGGAGUUAAGGAGGGACAAAAUGGGGAGUGAAAGAAGGAGCAGAUGCAAAUAGCCAGAGAAAACCUGGUUCCUGUCCUUGCUUGGAUGAAUAUUCACUUAUUCCAUGGAAAGCAUCUGCAGUCCUCAGUGGAGCUGGUGCUUUCUGAGCACGGGGCUUGCUGUCAGACUCCCCCAGGAAGGGGAAGACGUGUUUGCUGAGAUCCUUGCUGGAGGAACGAUCCUCACCAUGGAGCCUUUCCAGGGCACUGCUCUCUGGAAUGCUCCUGGCCCUUGCUCUUCUUGGAAGCUCUGCUGAGACAUCUGUCAGCUCGAGCCCACAGAGGGAGGCCAAGGUUAGUUAAUGCAUUAAUUAGUCCAAAUGGGGAAAAGAAGAAGAAAGCCCACACCUGACAAGCUGUCUUGGCAUCUCGUGAGAUGGGCGUAGAGCAUGCAUCCAAGGUAUGUCCUUGUUUUUUGUCUCUAUCAGCUGGUCUAAUAGAAGCUCCUCAUGUUUCCUACAGGUGUUGCUGCCUUAAUUUUUGAGUUUGCUGAGGGAGAUAGAGCCUGCUCAGCUUGGACACAGGGAGGCAGCCCUCCCUAGGAACCCCUCAGAAGCCCACGGGUGGCAGGCUGUGGUCCCAGUCCCAGCGGUGCUUCUGCUCGGCGUGCCCAGGCUGAACUCAGCACACUACAGCCAGAAGCUCCCGAACAUCAGCUGCAAUGCUCAGCUCAGCCCGUGCUCUUUCGGAAAUAACUCUGAAAGCUUAAAAGGCUCAUCCUUGCUCUAUCACAAUGUGGUUGCCAGGCUCCUUGGAGAAUGACAGCAAAGAGCUUCAAAGCAAUACAAAAAAAAAAAAAAAAAAGCCUUCCUCCAGCAGCCUUAGAUGCUGUCUGGCAGAGUGUGCAUACACUUGCUCUUCGUGUUUUUACACGAUCUGGAAGGCUGGCCUCUAAUUCUUACAGUCUUGAAAAUAAUUCAUUUUCUCUUCUGGGAUUCCAGAUCAGGGAUUAAUUUAAUGAUUUUUCUUUCCCAUUGUUUGUUUUUAACGAUUAAGGUGAUAGUUAUAAAUUGUUAACAAGUUCUGGUAGAAAUGUGAUCCCUGGGAACUUUUUUUUACACUGAAUAAAAUAACAGUGAGAUUGAUUUAGCAAAGCCGGGUGAGUUGCUGUGUCUUCAAAGAUUAUCUUGGUUCUGCAUGAAGGGCCAGCUUUUUGAGAAGUAUUUAGGCCUAACCGAAAUCAGGUGCUUAAGCACCUUCCAAAUAAGAGAGGCUUCUGUCUGUAGGGAGUGAUAAAAUUGUGUGUUAAAUCAGCCAGCGCGUUAGACCUUACUUUUUUGGCUGGGUAAUUUUUUCAGGUGGAUUGUUUCCUCUCCCAGACCGCUGAGCUGGCACCGAGUGGUUAUUUUAUGGAAAACCUCCCUUUGCUGGAAGCGGCGCAUGGCCCUGGGCUCGCUGGGGAGGCUGCGUGGCUGGGGCCGUGCCUACAGGCUGGUGUUUUGGCAUGACCAACUACCGGCCCAUGAGGAUGCAUGGAGCUGGAGGUGGUGGGGUGGCGCUGGCUCUUUUUGCUCCCCUGGUUUGCUUGGGUCUCUUUGUUCAGUGUUUGCUGAUCUGUGAAACGUGUUCUGGCCCUUGUUCCCAUGGGGCAGGGGCUUAUCUGAAAGCAGCAAACAGAGGUUUCUGGAGAAGCGUCUUCCAAGGAUGAUCUUCUUCCGAUAGAGGUUGUAAUUGUUUAAUGAUUUUCCAUAUGGAUUUCUGUGUGGGCUGCUACAGGACAGCCGGUGCUGGCUCGGCACUGGGGAGUUUCUGCCCAUGCUUGCUCUGGCUGCCCUCUCUUCCCCCAGCACUCAGUGGUGGGGCUGGAUGCAGCCUUUGGGCUGGCCAGCUGGCCUCUGCGCACUCUCACAGUCUUUUGAUUUAUAUUUACCUUGAUUUUUACUGCCCUCUGUCAAGCCCAAGUCUGAAACUUGUCACGUUUUUCCAAUUAAAUCAGUUGACCUUGUACAAAUGGAUUGGCUCUCCCAGCACACCUCGCCUCUCCACCUUUCUCAGUCUACAUGGCUGCAGUAAUGCUCCUUUAAAACAAACACUGCUUUUGCACUACCUCCAAGCCAUUGCAUCCUGCUCCCUGCUACUGCAGACAACCAAGCUUCUCUUCCCUUUCUUAGGCUGAAAAAACCCCUUUCUUAUUGCACUGGCUUUCCUCCUAAUUGUUUGGACAGUGAAAAGCCUUAUUCCAGUUUCUCACCUAAAUUUAUUCAUGGAUGGUUUGUGACCUUUUGCUGAUGUUGUCCUUUCACCUUAAAUAGCACUUUCUCUUCCUUCAUGUUAAACCUCCCGAUACAUGAGGAGAGAACAAUUUUAUCACCUCUCCACCUUCAUUUUCUUAAACUAACAAGUCAGGGCCUCCCAGCAGCUGACUCUUGUAAAAAGGCCACCUUUGCUCUGAUGCUGUAGAUAGCCUUUCUCUGAGCCAGUUCCAGCCUGAGCUCGCCAUCCUUGACCCCAAUUUUGGGUGACAAGGAUUGCGUGGUGCUUCACACAGGGUCUCGCCAGGCUGUGUGCAGUGACCCUUGUCCCCCCGAAGCGCACACAGGUACUUAUGAGGCCCCAGUGUUUACACGGGGCUCCUGCAGGGUGCAAGACCACUCUGUUUGAGGAAUGGGAUUUUAAAAGGUUUGAUCCCUUUCACAAUGAAGUCACAGUUGAAAUUCCCAUCGAUUGCUAAGGUGUGUGUCCAGGACUUAAUAAGUCUUGUUGCUCUGUGCCAGAAGUGGUGAACUCCUCUGACAUGAUAAAUCGCAUGCCAAAGGUGUUGAUGCAUCUGACUGAGGGGAGCAGGAGCUCCAGGAUCGUGCGGUUCAAAGCAGGUGAUGGCAGUGUGGGACCAGGGAUGGGUUCUCUCCUCCUGCCCCCCUUUGCUUUACUCAAGGAGUAAGGAUCAUAUAAAUAUUGUUAAAUUGUGUUUUAAAAGAAAAAGAUGCAAAAUGGAACCCUUGGCACUCUGGUGGAGGCGAGAAGGAUUUCCAUGGAUGGGAGCAGAGCCUGUGCGAGGCUGAGCAGGUGGAAAGGUUUUGGACGCAUCCAGAGCUGUGGGCUGUGUCUGAGAUGUUUGAGCCCAACACAGGUAGGAGCGCUGGCAGCAGGCAAUCGGGAGGGCAGUGCCACGAGGCAUGGGAGGAUCCUCCUUUCUAACCAUCGCAUGUGAAGCUAGGAACUGCGGUUGAGUCCUGAGGCUGGCUGGAGAUCAACCAGAGAUCCUGCCUGAUGGAAACAGAAUCCUUCUGUUUCCUGAUCUAAGCCCUGUAACACAAAGCAGAUGUAAAGGUCCAGCUGAGAUCAGGAAAUCUUUUGUGUGUGAGGUGGAGGCAAAAAAAAAAAAAAAAAAAAAAAAAAAGGGGCAAAAAAAAAAAAAAAAGCACUGCCAGCCACGGAGCCUGUGCAGGGGGCAAGCAGGUAUGGGGCAGAGAGCUGGCUGAAGGGGAAGGGGCACUGCCUGCUGAAGCACAGUCUGCCCUUCUGGAGUGCUAACAGUAAAAAGCAGCACCACGGGAAUAAAACAAAGGCAACCCAGCCCGCUUGCAUUUCUGAACCUAACACCCUCAAAGCCCUGCCACCUGGGCUUCUCGAGGCUGGGUGGGACCUGCCAUGCCCUGCCUUGUCUUCCCCGCUUCCUGCAGGGGUGUGUGGCUGAGCGAGGAGCACCUGGGUUAAAUAACCCCCGUGGCAUGACCUACGUCUUCUGUGGGGCCAGAGAUCUGUGUGAAGCUGGAUUCCCUGCGGGUGCUGCCGGAGCCUGCUGCAGUCUGUCGGGAUCGGCCGCUUGCCAUCUGCCGUGGGGAUGGGCAGCAGAGAGCACGCGCUGUGACGGGGUGAGCGAGGUACCCUGCAGCACAGCAGCCUCCAGUAUAGCUCUGUUCGGAGCAGCAGGACCAGGCCUCUUGCAACCCUAAGCUGA